GUUGAAAUGUAGGUUUCAACAUUACAAGUCAGGCUUUAUUAAACAUUUAAUUAGGUUGCUGAAAUAAAUCUCUCCACCUGUAAUGCUGUCUCGAAGGACAUCCUCGUCGAGUUUCUAAUCGAUAUCCGACCUCACUUUCCCUUACCGUUAGCAAGUUAGCUAACGUGUCAAACGUACCCAGCAACCAGGCAUACUACUCCCGUAAUCAAGUUUCCUGCUGGAGUGGGGCUGUUGAUUCUUGUCUAGCCCUGCCCAUGAUGACUGAUUGAAAGGACAUUACAAAAUAGACUACGUCAAUUCACCACAAGUCAAAAUCAGAUCAACAGACAGGGACAUCAGCCUUCUCUUGGGAAUAUGCCAGAUAAGCCAUAACAAGAAAAAAUGGUGUUAUGCCCCUGCGGUUGUGAAGAGGAUGCUGUGGAGGUGGCAGCAUGAACGUGUCACACAGACAUUGGCUAAACUACUCGGCUUCUACACUUGCCCUCAGAGUUCACAUAUGGUUAAGUGCACAGGUGUCCAUCCAGGUUCAUGCUGAUGCUGGUAACAAGAGGAAAACAUGCUGAUUGGAAUGAUUCAACGAUGGACACUUUGCUUAAUUGUGGAAAAAAUAAAUGGGAAAACGUC